UGGGGAAUAUUGGACAAUGGGCGAAAGCCUGAUCCAGCCAUGCCGCGUGUGUGAAGAAGGUCUUCGGAUUGUAAAGCACUUUAAGAUGGGUGGAAGGGCAGUAAGCGAAUACCUUGCUGUUUUGACGUUACCGACAGAAUAAGCACCGGCUAACUCUGUGCCAGCAGCCGCGGUAAUACAGAGGGUGCAAGCGUUAAUCGGAAUUACUGGGCGUAAAGCGCGCGUAGGUGGUUCGUUAAGUUGAAUGUGAAAGCCCCGGGCUCAACCUGGGAACUGCAUCCAAGACUGGCGAGCUAGAGUAGGGCAGAGGGUGGUGGAAUUUCCUGUGUAGCGGUGAAAUGCGUAGAUAUAGGAAGGAACACCAGUGGAGAAGGCGACCACCUGGGCUCAUACUGACACUGAGGUGCGAAAGCGUGGGGAGCAAACAGG
rnacentral:rRNA from 1 species